CCCUGCGCGAAGGGGGAGGAGGAGAGCCGAGGCAUGCUCGGCGGCGCUUGCUCCCUGGCUGGCUCCUCUCAGUCGGCCGCUGCUACUUGCCUGUCGCCGGGGCUGGGAGAGCCUGAGAGGGAGCGUGUGUGUGUUAUGUGAGUGACGCGGCGGAGGUGUAGUUUGACGCGGUGUGUUACGUGGGGGAGAGAAUAAAACUGCGGCGAGAGCCUAGGCGCGAACGAAAGCAGUGACGGAGCAGCCUGUAGCCGAACUUGCCUUAUCCAAGAAUGUGUGGUUUCGAAAUUCAGUUCUUGAGUUACAAAGAUAACUAAAUGACCAUGGAAUCUGGCACAGAGAACCAACAGAGUGGAGAUGCAGCUGUUACAGAGGCAGAAAACCAACAGAUGACAGUACAGGCACAACCACAAAUUGCAACAUUAGCCCAGGUCUCUAUGCCAGCAGCUCAUGCAACAUCUUCUGCUCCCACUGUGACCUUAGUGCAACUGCCUAAUGGGCAGACAGUUCAAGUCCAUGGUGUUAUUCAGGCAGCCCAGCCAUCUGUUAUUCAGUCUCCACAAGUCCAGACAGUUCAGAUCUCCACUAUUGCAGAAAGUGAAGAUUCACAGGAAUCUGUGGACAGUGUCACAGAUUCCCAGAAACGCAGGGAAAUCCUUUCUAGGCGACCCUCUUACAGAAAAAUCUUGAACGACUUGUCCUCAGAUGCCCCAGGAGUGCCAAGGAUUGAAGAGGAAAAAUCUGAAGAAGAAGCAGCAGCACCUGCCAUCACUACUGUCACGGUGCCAACUCCAAUUUACCAGACGAGCAGCGGACAAUACAGGACUGGUGUUGCUGAUAUCCACCAUCAAUAUGGCAAUGCUGUGCAUGCAGUUGCGAUUACCCAGGGAGGUGCAAUACAGUUAGCUAACAAUGGCACCGAUGGAGUACAGGGCCUGCAGACUCUGACCAUGACCAACGCAGCUGCAACCCAGCCUGGCACCACCAUUUUACAGUAUGCACAGACCACUGACGGACAACAGAUUCUUGUACCUAGCAACCAAGUUGUUGUACAGGCUGCCUCAGGAGACGUCCAGACCUACCAAAUCCGCACAGCACCCACAAGCACCAUCGCACCUGGUGUUGUCAUGGCAUCCUCUCCAGCACUUCCCACCCAGCCAGCAGAGGAAGCUGCACGAAAGAGAGAAGUCCGUCUAAUGAAGAAUAGGGAGGCAGCACGCGAGUGCCGCAGGAAGAAAAAGGAAUAUGUCAAAUGUCUAGAAAACAGAGUGGCUGUGCUUGAAAAUCAAAACAAGACAUUGAUUGAAGAGCUAAAAGCACUUAAGGACCUUUAUUGCCACAAAUCGGAUUAAUUUUAGAUUCCCAUAUUUGGUUUAUUAAUGUGGGGUAAAGACUGGUUUGGUGACAACCAGAAAGACAAAGUGAACUUUUUAUUUUCUAAACAUUUCUUUUUUUUUCUACGCGCAAAACUGCCUGAAAGCAACUGCAGAAUUUAAUUCAUCUGUGCUUUGCAUUAAACUGUGAAUGUUGAAACACCUGCCUCCCCUCCCAGUUUCCCCUCACAAAAUUACUUUCAUCACAGUGCAUCCUGAGUGUGAAGAAAAAGAACAGACUUCUUCGUCUCCCUUCCUCUUCAAGAAGUAACUAAUGUUCACUUGUGAAGUUAUUGUGGGGGAUGGAUGUAUUUCAAGAAUUAGUGUGAGCUCGGAUGGGUGUAUUUCAAGAAUUAGUGUGAGCUCGUCUGAAUGCCUUAGAGACAGUCACCCCAGCCUCUGCCCUGAAGUAUUCUGUGGGCCAGAUGCAUAACCAAGAGGCAAAGUUACCCAAGGCAACCAUUAGCAGAAGCAUGGCCAACACAGUGUACAAUGUGAGUGAAGAAAGAAAAAUGUAUCUGGGCAUCUCAAAUUCUCUUAAAGGGUUGGCCAUCCUAACUAAUAUAUUACAAAUAUUAGUUCUUAAAAUUGUACCUCUGUUCAAACUGUCAGUUUUUCUUUAGGGCUUAAAAUCUCCCUUGAUGUGAUAGCUUCAAAAAGGAAUGUUAAUUUUUUCAGUGCAGGAUAACACACAAUGUGGUAGGAAAAUACCUUUGCAAGAAGUUCUGUGCAUAAAUGGUGUGAGAUUUACCCAUUGAACUCACUCUGCAAACGCUGUAAACCAAUUGAUUUGACUGUGUAACUUGGAGAUUGAGUAGAAUACAAGUAAAAGUUGCUCACCUGUAAAGGUGGACAGGAGUCAGACCCUGCGGGAGUAAUAAUGGAGCAGCUACCCUUUCUCUAAAAUAUUUUGAAAAAGCUUAAAUGUAACAUGAUAAACAUCAAACUUUCUGAUCAACAUUGCAAUUUCCUUAGUUUA